GCCUCCGUAGUUUAGUUGGUUAUAACACCCCACUAGUAACUUUCGUAGCUAAUGGGGAGGUCUGUCGUUCGAAUCGGCACGGAGGCA
rnacentral:tRNA from 1 species